rnacentral:rRNA from 1 species
GACGAACGCUGGCGGCGUGCCUAAUACAUGCAAGUCGAACGCAGGGGGGACGGGUGAGUAACACGGGGGUAACCUCCCAUCAGAGGGGAUAACACUUGGAAACAGGUGCUAAACCGAUACUGAUGGAUGGACCCGCGGUGCAUUAGCUAGUUGGUGAGGUAACGGCUCACAAAGGCCACGAUGCAUAUCCGACCUGAGAGGGUGGUCGGCCACACUGGGCCGGAGACCCGGCCCAGACUCCUACGGGAGGCAGCAGUAGGGAAUCUUCGGAAAUGGACGAAAGUCUGACCGAGCAACGCCGCUUGAGUGAAGAAGGUUUUCGGAUGGUAAAACUCUUUGGUUAGAGAAGCGGUAUCUAACCAGAAAGCCACGGCUAACUACGUGCCAGCCGCCGCGGUAAUUC